rfam:Triticum aestivum genome assembly, contig: Triticum_aestivum_CS42_TGACv1_scaffold_150137_2BS
UGUGUACUCCCUCCGUUCCAAAAUACUUGACUUCCAUUUGUCCAAAAAUGGAUGUACCUAUAUACUAAAACAUGUCUAGAUACAUAUAUAUUUUGAAAAAUACUAGGCAUGUAUUGUGCAACGGAGGGAGUAGAAU